GUAGGUGCUUGUAAUCCCAGCUACUCAGGAGGCUGAGGCAGGAGAAUCGCUUGAACCCGGGAGGCACUUGAACAUCCUCUGGCUCAGGCCUCCCUCCAUGAAGGUGCCCUCUCUGGGAGGCCAACACACAGCCAGAGGCUACCUGGGUAUCUUGAGGCAAAGGCUAGGAUUGCUGACUGUGUGAGAGACUUUAAUGAAGUCACAGGAGGGCCCUCUGAUAAUUCCUCACUCCUAGGGCUGAACAGGGAGUACCUCUCUCUGGGCAGGGCUUGGCUGGUACUAGCCUCAGACCCUCCUUUGUCUAAGCUCCAUUUGGAAGCCUUGAAGACACCUGCUCAUGCCAGAUACACAAUGUAUCUUCUGCCGGAGCAGACUGGCAGAUGGGUGAGUGCUCUGUCUUUGGCACUCACCCUUGCUCCCUGCUUCCAGUCAUCCAGGCUCUGGUUGAAGCUCUCUACCAGCCCAAUACCCUCCCCAUGUUCCAAUUGCCCUAUCAAACUAGCACUCCCUGUGGUCGUGGUGGUGGGGAGAGCAAUCAGUUUAAAUUUAUAAAACGAUUUGCACUAAGGUAUAAGUGACCCACGACUUCACCUUCCCAUGGGCAUUAGCUGUUUAAAAAGGAAGUCUGUUAACCUAAAUUCUGGUCUAUAAUUAGUGGAAAGUGAUGUGUGGGAAUUCUGAGUCCAGGAGGGGAUGGCAUCCAGGUCUCCUUACCUAUCCUGGAGCACAGAAAGAAGAAAACCAGAUGAACAGGAGCCAAGCACCCUCUCUUUUCCUCCAGCAAUACCCCACAAUUGUUUGAGGAGGCAGGCAAGGCCAUAGAGUCAUGCAGCUGACCUUGCGGGUGGGCCUCCAACUUCUCCCCUGGCUGGUUAGGAAAAGCCUGCCCGUGACUUUUUCCUCUGCCGGAGUAAGGCUGCCCAGUUUCAAUUCCCCUGCUCUGGGCAGGCUGGAGAGGGCUCCUAGGAGGUGAAGGAGACUACAUAUGCCCCAGGCAGAGGCAGGCAGGCAGGCAAGCAGGCAGAAACUUCCUGGGCUUCGGCCUGCCUGGGCCGCGCAUAAGGGGCUGGUCGCCACAGCUUCCCUGCCUUGUCCCAGCAGAUUGUGCGGCAGAGCAGGCGCGCGGCCACAGCUCUCCCCGCCCCGCCGCGCCCGACCCGGCCUUCUGGGCAGGCCCCAGACGCCCGAGGCCGGGGGCGCCCCUCGCCUCUUCCUCGGCCUCAAGGACACUUGCGAAACGUGGAUCUAAAGCAAGUCCUUCGCGCUGACCACGGACAGUUAUUCAAGCUGCACGUUGCCGCGGCUCCGGCUCUCACUGUCGCUCAGCAGGUCGUCCUCCGAGUCCUCGAGCAGCGACGAGGAGCCAGUGGAGGAGACCGACGAGGUGGAAAGGCGGCGCGGCUGCUGCAGGAGCUCGGGGCUUGGAGUCCGCCGUGUGGCGUUCAGCAAGUCAUUUCACCUCCCUCGACUGCGGAUUCUCCCGUUGCUGCGAGAAUAAAAUAAAAUAUUUGAAAACAGGUA